UACGUAGGGUGCAAGCGUUUGUCCCGGAAUUAUUGGGCGUAAAGAGCUCGUAGGCGGUUUGUUGCGUCGGCUGUGAAAUCCCGAGGCUCAACCUCGGGUCUGCAGUCGAUACGAGCAAACUAGAGUGUUGCAGGGGAGACUGGAAUUCCUGGUGUAGCGGUGAAAUGCGCAGAUAUCAGGAGGAACACCGGUGGCGAAGGCGGGUCUCUGGGCCGAUAUUGACGCUGAGGAGCGAAAGCGUGGGAGCGAACAGG
rnacentral:rRNA from 1 species